rnacentral:rRNA from 1 species
CUUACGGGAGGCAGCAGUGGGAAUAUUGGACAAUGGGGGCAACCCUGAUCCAGCCAUGCCGCGUGUGUGAAGAAGGCCCUCGGGUUGUAAAGCACUUUCAGCGAGGAAGAACGCCUAGCGGUUAAUACCCGCUAGGAAAGACAUCACUCGCAGAAGAAGCACCGGCUAACUCCGUGCCAGCAGCCGCGGUAAUACGGAGGGUGCAAGCGUUAAUCGGAAUUACUGGGCGUAAAGCGCGCGUAGGUGGCUUGAUAAGCCGGUUGUGAAAGCCCCGGGCUCAACCUGGGAACGGCAUCCGGAACUGUCAAGCUAGAGUGCAGGAGAGGAAGGUAGAAUUCCCGGUGUAGCGGUGAAAUGCGUAGAGAUCGGGAGGAAUACCAGUGGCGAAGGCGGCCUUCUGGACUGACACUGACACUGAGGUGCGAAAGCGUGGGUAGCAAACAGGAUUAGAUACCCUGGUAGUCCACGCCGUAAACGAUGUCGACCAGCCGUUGGGUGCCUAGCGCACUUUGUGGCGAAGUUAACGCGAUAAGUCGACCGCCUGGGGAGUACGGCCGCAAGGUUAAAACUCAAAUGAAUUGACGGA